GAUAAAGGUUUUUUAGGUCAAGGAGGGAACCGGAGUACCCCCACAAGAAACCAACCAGAAGAGGUGAUAGAAGAAGAAACCGGAAAAACAAGAACACGAAGUCAUCGCCCCCAGAGACAAGGGAACAACAGGAAUCAGGGCCCCAAGAAAAAGACAUAAGUAGGACUGUGGAGAACAUCAAGGACGAAUUGGUGAAAACAGAAGUCAUAUCGGAGAAGAAAAAAAAGAGGGCAGACAUUUUUGACCCCUAGGAGGAUGGGAUCAUAUCCUUGCCUGUCCUGCAUAAAUUAUCUAGCUCAAGAUGAAACAUCAAGGAGAAGACAUUACCUGCUCUGUGUAUAUUAUCUGUAUGGCGUAAUUUUAGGGAUUAAUAAACAUCAAGAUAAAU